rnacentral:rRNA from 1 species
CCUAGGUGCUAUCAGAUUCGCAAUAGACAUGCAAGUUUAAUGUCUCUUCGGAGGCAUGGCGAAAGGCUCAGUAACACGUCGCCAAUCUGCCCUAUGGACGGGGAUAACCUUGGGAAACUAAGACUAAUACCCGAUAGGUAUGGAAUUCUGGAAGGAGCCAAUACUAAAAUGGGCUUCGGUUUGCCAUAGGAUGAGGCCGCGGCCGAUUAGCUAGUAAGUGAUGUAAAGGAUCACUUAGGCAAUGAUCGGUAGGGGUAAUGAGAGUUAGCGCCCCGAGAAGGACACUUAGACACUGGUCCUAGCACUACGGUGUGCAGCAGUUAGGAAUUGUGCCCAAUGCGCGAAAGCGUGAGACCGCGAAUCUGAGUGCCAGGGAGAACCCUGGCUGUGAUGGAGUGUUCGUAGCUCUAACAGCAAGCAGAGGGCAAGGCUGGUGCCAGCCGCCGCGGUAAAACCAGCUCUGCGAGUGCCUAGGACGAUUAUUGGGCUUAAAGCAUCCGUAGCCGGGUAAGUAGGUCUCUGAUUAAAUCUGCAAGCUUAACUUGUAGGCUGUCAGAGAUACCGCUAACCUAGGGAAUAGGAGAGGUGAACGGUACUGCGAGAGAAGCGGUGAAAUGCGUUGAUUCUCGCAGGACCCACAGUGGCGAAGGCGGUUCACUGGAAUAUCUCCGACGGUGAUGGAUGAAAGCCAGGGGAGCGAAAGGGAUUAGAGACCCCUGUAGUCCUGGCCGUAAACGAUGAGGACUAGGUGUUGGCCAUGGCUAAGGGCCUGGUCAGUGCCAAAGGGAAACUAUUAAGUCCUCCGCCUGGGGAGUACGGUCGCAAGGCUGAAAC